rnacentral:rRNA from 1 species
GACAGAGGUGCCAAGCGUUAGGCGGAAUCACUGGGCUUAAAGCGUGCGCAGGCGGCGCGUUAAGACAGGUGUGAAAGCCCCGAGCUUAACUUGGGAAUUGCGCUUGUGACUGGCGUGCUGGAGUGUGGCAGAGGGAGGUGGAAUUCCACGUGUAGCAGUGAAAUGCGUAGAGAUGUGGAGGAACACCGAUGGCGAAGGCAGCCUCCUGGGCCAGCACUGACGCUCAUGCACGAAAGCGUGGGGAGCAAACAGG